CUGGCUCAGGACGAACGCUGGCGGCGUGCUUAACACAUGCAAGUCGAACGAUGACGGUGGUGCUUGCACCGCCUGAUUAGUGGCGAACGGGUGAGUAACACGUGAGUAACCUGCCCUCCACUUCGGGAUAACCUCGGGAAAUCGUGGCUAAUACCGGAUAUGAGCACUCAUCGCAUGGUGGGUGUUGGAAAGAUUUAUCGGUGGGGGAUGGACUCGCGGCCUAUCAGUUUGUUGGUGAGGUGAUGGCUCACCAAGACGAUGACGGGUAGCCGGCCUGAGAGGGCGACCGGCCACACUGGGACUGAGACACGGCCCAGACUCCUACGGGAGGCAGCAGUGGGGAAUAUUGCACAAUGGGCGAAAGCCUGAUGCAGCGACGCCGCGUGGGGGAUGACGGCCUUCGGGUUGUAAACCCCUUUCAGUAGGGAAGAAGCGAGAGUGACG
rnacentral:rRNA from 1 species